GACCUAGGGCUGAGCUGGGCUGGGCUACCACGUAGGGGUGAAAACUCCUCCUCAGAGCGUCGUAUUAACCGUUUGGAAUGUUCCAUCGCCUGGCGUCCCCCGCCCGCACGGGUGUGGUACCGCCCUGAGGUGAAAGGGUUCCAGAUGAGGUGUGUGGUUCAUGGGUCAGUUCAUAACUCUGGUGUUAGUAACUCUGAAGUUCUACUGUAGCGUAAGUUACGAUUCUUAAUUCUUACAUUUUUACAUUUUUUAUUAUGUUAGAAAAUGAUGAAUAACGUAUUUCUAGAUGAUGAAUAUUUUUUUAAGUUGUGAUUUGUGUCAAACUAUUUUGAUAUAAUUCAAAUUCAGUGCAAAAUCUACAAAAAAGCUUUAAAAAAUAAUGCUUUUUUAUUAAAUAAAACUAGUUUAAAAGUGCUGGAUAAAUAAAAAAAGUUUAUCAAGAAGUUUCUCAGAAAAUGUUUUUCAUUUAAAGUUAACUGAUUUAUUAAAGGAAUUAGUAUCUGUAGUUAAUGAAUUGAUUCUUUCUGUUCACCAUAUCCUUCAAGAUUUUGGAACUAAUAGAUUUCACCCUCUGAUGUCUAAUUUUUAUUCAUAGAUUGGAAGAGGAAAACAAGCUCUCCUGUUUUUUCAACUUACAAUUGGUUUCUUAGCUUUGAAUGAACUAGUCAUUGAAUUAAACUAGUGGAAUAAGAUGAAAUGAAGAGAAUAUUCUCUCUGAACCUGCAGAAGAGAGGUUACUGCCAUCAAAAGUGGUUAGCACUUACCCAAAACUCUGUUUCUAGGCACUUAGCCAGUCAUUUCUACCAGUUCUGUGGUUUGCCUUUCUUUAAAACUUGGUAGCAAACAUGAACUUCUUUAAUAUUAGUGUGAUGUUGUACUUUAUAUGUUUAUGGAAAUAUGCUUAUGAGUGUAAAUAUAACAUAACUGGAAUAUGCUUUAUGCUAGAUAUGCCAUGUGACAUAUGGUCUACUGAAUAUAUUCAUCCUAUUUGUAUGCAUGUAUCAUUUUUAUAUCUAAAGUUAUGAGCGUUGGCUCUGUGCUUGUAUUUGAAGUGUUUGCUGUAGGAAACACAUAAGGGAGAUUUGGCCAACACUGUGAAAGGUCUAUUCAAGUAAUUGGGAGUACUUAACUACAGUGGACUUUGGGAGACACCAGUUCACAUCUGUUCAAACUAACCUGUAAACAGUGGUGUUGGCCUGCAAAAAGCUGAAUCAUUCAUGGACAUGUGACUUGCCCAGGAGGCUACAAACUCCAUCUUGUUGCUGUGAUUUUGCGGAAGAGCGAUGGGGUUUCUGCCCACAAGUGAGAGACUAUAAAAGGGCCUGGAAGACUUUCCAUUUGGUCUUUAGCUGGCUUAAGAGAUGGCCUCUCCACCCCAAAGAGGUGCCUGAAAGAAACUGGAACAAAGGGUGUGUGAGUGAUUGCUGGACCCAGACCAUAAACUACAACAUUGGGCUGAAAAGGAUUGUACCUGAGAUAACAUCUGGGGUGAGAAGUUAGUAUUUGUAACUAGAUCCUUAGUGUAUUAAGUUAGCCUUGCGUGUUUUGUUUUAUUUUGCUUGGUAAUUUACUUUGUUCUGUCUGUUAUUAAUUGAAACCACUUAAAUCCUACUUGUUGUACUCAAUAAAAUCACUUUGUUUAUUAAUUAA